UUUGCCUUAGAAAGGGGAUUUCGAAAUCAACAACUUUAUCAUACACUCAAGAAAUUGCGUCAGUUGUCGUUGUGUCAUCGCAAAAGAUCGAUCGAUUUUUGCUUGCUGCAGACAAUAAUUUUUUUUAAAGAAUUUCAAUUUUUUCGUUCUUGUUUUCAAACGACUCGUCGAACGAGUCCUUAAUUAAACGAACUUUUUACGCUUAAAACACACACACACAAACAAAUCGAUCAAGAUGUUCAAGAACCAUUUGGAAAUGAUUGGUCGCAACGAGAGCCCCAGCAAGAAGGCUAAGUUCUGGCAAUCCUAUAUCAGAUCCUUGAAGGGAUCUGAGGAUAUCCGUGCCCAUGAGACUCCUAGAGCUUCUCGCCCUUACAGCUCAUACUUAGAUUCUCCUGCCACAUACAGGAGCAUCUAUGAUGAGCCUGCUACCGCCAACGAGCGUGUACAGUCUCAUGGCUACAGAUAUUUGCCCGUCAGCAGAGACACCUAUGGCUAUUCUCCACGUGCCAUCUACGAUCAUCAUUACAGCAGAACAAUUCCAGCUAACUACGAUGCAGAGAAGGCCUGGAAUGAUCAUUUGAAGCGUAUGCAAGAAAUUGAACGCAGAUACCCAUCUCGUUAUGGUUUGUAUCUUAAGGACAAGCCCCUCACUCCCAACUCUUUGGUCCCCUUGGAAUAUGAGCCCGAAGAUAAAUUGCUCCAAGAACUCAACAAGGCUCGUCACUCCCCCACCCCAGCUCCCUCACGUUACAGACGUGCCGGCAGUGAACCCUAUGUUCCACCACCAACCUACUGGAACCGUGGCUCAAGUGUAGCUCCUCGUGCUCCAUCUGUAUUCGAUCGUGCACCAUCCGUAUUCGAUCGUGCCACUAGCUUGGCUCCUUUCACCCGUCCCUUGUUCCGUGCCAGUUCAUUGGAACCCUUGGAUGAACUCUUUGCCAGUAAGUUAGAUAAAGAUAAUGUUUUCCAGCGUGCUGGCUCACCAAGUCCCACUCCCGUUAAGGCUGGUCGCUGGGGACCUCGCCCCACUGAAGUUGCCUAUGAUGCUGAUGGACUACCCAUCUUCCAUCCCAGAAACCGCUUCAGGGAUAUGUUGGAACCCAAUCCCCACGCUCCCAUCUCAGCCUUCACUCGUGAUCCCUUCUGGUGGGAUAUGGAUGAUUUAGCUCCCAUUCGUGCUGUUUCACCAUUCCGUGCCACAUCGAUGCCACGCGGCGGUUCCGUUGCCAGGGAUUCGUUCUUGUCGCCCAUUAAGAAUCGUUAUUUGUGGACAAAACACCCCGUCAGACCAUUGACUCCUGAAGAAGAGGCAAUUUUUGAAUAAAAUUUCAAAGUAGAAAACUCUCGAGCUGUAAAAGAAAAAACCUAAAAACAAAACGAAUUAAAAAAAAUUAAAAAACAAAUAAAUCUACUCAUCUACGAUUAAACCAAAAAAAAAAAAUAAAAACGAUUUUUUGAGAACUAACACAAAAAGCACUAAAAUGCACAAAAUAAACGAAAAAAUAAAAUUGCCCAUCGCGCUAUGUAAAUUGUGAUGCUAAGUUUUAAUUUAUAAAAUAAAAAAUAUAAAAAAAAUAAAAAACAGCAAAACGAAUUAAAGGCCUCAAUGCAACAAAACAAAACGAUUCUUACAAACAAAUCAAACCAACAAAUCUUUAGCGAAAUUCGAAACGAAGAAGAUUUUUUCAACUUUAAACUCUUUCUCUCCUACAAAAAAGCUCUUACUGCACAACAAAACCAUCAACAACAACAACAAAAAACUACCAUUAUUAUCAUGACAAUUAAAAAUGCCUAAGUGUCAUUUACAUCACCUCUCGCAAAACUCUUUUUUUUAAUUAAUUUUAAUUUUUUUUCUAUAAUUUAUUUUGUUAUUUUCUGUGUAAAAUAUUGUAUUUAAAAAAAAAAAAUAUUAAAAAAAGCAUAUUAAAAAAAUCUAAAAAAAAAAA